GGCUGCUUCCGGAGGUCAGCGGGCACACCAACCCCCGCGGCCUGGGGAGGCGCGGGCUCUGCUCUCGGGCCUGAGGGUCGGAGCCCGUGCAUCGCCGACACGCUCCAGGGAGGCCGGCCCUCGGGUGCGGUGUGGACCCCAGGACGCCCUCAGGACCCUCGGGGGCCGACUCGGCUCAGUGGCUUCUGGGGGAUCAAGUGCCGCCCACACCAGGGCUGCUCCAGGAAGGCCACCCAACCCGAGCGCCAAGCCUGCGGCCCCCGGAAGGGAGACACCGCCCGCCCUGGUCCCCCGGAAGCGCCAGCGAACCGACCCCAGUGCCCGCGGCUUCCGCCCGGCGCCAUCUCCUUCCGGUCCCUUGGUAGGAGGCCCAGGGGGCUUCCCAUUGGUGGGCCCGUCACAUGACUGCACCGGCUGCAAGGGAGGCUGGGAAGCCAGCGCGUGGUGUCCGCCCCGUGGAUUGUGAGAGUGACGAGGAAGGAAACGUCCGCUCGGGGAGGGGGCGCUCCAGGACAGUCAGGGGCCGAGGUGUCCCCGCCAGCUUCUCCCAGAGCGGGAGCCCGGCACAAACCCCCAGGCCGUGCGGGACCCCCUCCCCUCCCCUCUGGCGCCUCCUGUCCUCCCACACACGAGGCCCAGCCCCAGCUCGGGUCUGGAACGUUCUGUGCCACCUCUGCAGCCAGGCCUGGGCCCAAACGCCACCUCCUCGGAGGGGCGCUCGCUGACCACCCCCUAGGGCGGCCCCUCCCACCCCAGUCAUUCCAGAAGGCCUCGCCCAAACCCAGGACCAGGAUCACUGACACCACCGCAGGGACGGCUCACCAAUGCCUCCCGCUUUCCGCACACGGUUAUGAAAUGUCUUCCGCGUUGGCAGACAACUCUUCACUCACCCAGACCGCGUGACCCGGCCCAUCCGGCCAGACGCUCCAGGGCAUCUUCAGAGCAGACCCAGGGCUCCCCCGGAAGGAACGUUCUGGGAUGAAGCUGAUCCGGCUGGCGAGGCUGUUUGUGGUGUGAGCGCCUGUGCGCGCGGGUUCCUCACAAGGUCUAGCUCCAGUGCGUUCUGGUAGCCGCUCACAGUUCUCCGUGACCCAGCUUGUAAAAGGCAUCGCUGUCGAGGGCACAACGCUCAACUCUCACACGAAUGGCAUCUUUAAAUUAAAGGGCCCGACCCUGGGCCAACACGGACGCUGGAGGCGAGGACCCUGGGCUCAAAUAUUUGUUCACGUUAAAUGCAGUUUUGUUCCUCUCCUGGCUGCCUCAACCCACAUUUCCUAUCACCUCGGUCCUACUGCUUCAGCCUCGACUUCAGGAGGAUAUCAGGAACUGAACUACCCUUGUAUUAUUUUUUCUUUCAGAUUAAAACUGAUGUUCUGAUUCCCUAAAAUCUUGCCUUUCACACAAGCCUGUGGCUUAUUAAUGCUUAGUCAGAGCAUCCCUUUCAUUUUUCAUCUCUCCUUUCUCCAGCUUGUCAUCUGGAAGGAAGCUGCUUUUUUUCAGUCAACACACUUGAGAUGAGUUUUAAGUUAUACCUGAGGGAGCACUGAAAUUGCUCAGCCUUUCCCAGUGUUCACUUGGCCUCCUGUGUCAGCCGCUGGCAUCUCUUUCUCACACUCUCUCACACAAGGCAAACUUGACUGCCCCCAAAUGUGAUGGCACAUCCCUCCAGGAAUCCUCCAGCAGCCUCACAGCAGGGCGUCUC
ensembl:lncRNA